UACAGAGGGUGCGAGCGUUAAUCGGAUUUACUGGGCGUAAAGGGCGCGUAGGCGGUUCCAUGAGUGUGAUGUGAAAGCCCUGGGCUUAACCUAGGAAGUGCAUCGCAAACGAUGGAACUGGAGUAUAUGAGAGGGUGGCGGAAUUUCCGGUGUAGCGGUGAAAUGCGUAGAGAUCGGAAGGAACGUCGAUGGCGAAGGCAGCCACCUGGCAUAAUACUGACGCUGAGGCGCGAAAGCGUGGGGAUCAAACAGG
rnacentral:rRNA from 2 species